rnacentral:rRNA from 1 species
UACGUAGGUGGCAAGCGUUGUCCGGAUUUACUGGGCGUAAAGGGUGUGUAGGCGGAUGUUUAAGUGAGAUGUGAAAUACCCGGGCUUAACUUGGGUGCUGCAUUUCAAACUGGAUAUCUAGAGUGUGGGAGAGGAGAAUGGAAUUCCUAGUGUAGCGGUGAAAUGCGUAGAGAUUAGGAAGAACACCAGUGGCGAAGGCGAUUCUCUGGACCAUAACUGACGCUGAGGCACGAAAGCGUGGGGAG